GGAAAAGCUGCCAUGGUAGAAGAAUGACCAGGAGGGAGAGAGAGAGCCACACUGGAGUAAGAGUAAAGGAAAUGUGGCCAUGUGAGCUGACCAAUUGGAGCUAAGGGUGCCCAGAUGGAACACAGUAAAUAAUGUUUGGCACAGGAUCUCAACUUGAUGACUAUUUCUUCUUGUUCUCCUUCACCUCACAAGAACCUUCCAAGCCACAAUUCUUUGGAAAUCGACACAAGGAGCUUUACUUCAAAUUACCAUCUUUCGCUUAACAAGAUCCAUCUCUAAGGUCAGUGAUAGUUUUUGUUUUUUUGCUUUUUUUUUUUGAAAAUCGUUUUCCAUGUAGAAUUCCCUGGAUGUGCAUAUUUUGAAAAAGACACUAGAGAAUAAGACACCUAAACAGUGUGGGUCAUGUUCACAUGAGGCAGGCAAAUUCAGCAACUGAGUUAGAUAUCACCAUUUUACUUUGAAUUCUUUCUAAAGUUUUGAUUUAUGGAGAAAUAGAGGUUUUCUAUCAGUCUUGCUACAGCUUCAACUUUGAUCAAUUCCUCUACUCAGUAGAGGGUCAAACACCUGAAGGGAAAGAAGAGGGGUCUUCAGAACAUGUGUCAGGAGAAGAUCAUUUGUGCGAGCCCACUGAAAAGACAAAUGACCCACCUCCCGCCUCCCAUCUCCUGUGCUCUUGCUGCGUCAGUGAUCUCUGCUGGUUGGUGGAUCAGAGACAAUCCAAGCUCUAACUAAUCUGCCCUGUCACAGAGCGAGCCAUGUGCAAACAAAGGUUUUAGUGCCUGGAAGGUAAAACGACUUUUAAGGAAAAAUCUCCUGGCAAAGAAAAACUUUUCUGAUUAAAAUGUAGAGCGAGCCAGGAAAUGUCUUCCCGAAGCCACCUGCAGACAUUCCGUUCGAUACCUGUAUUCAAAGCCGAGCUGGAACUAAAGCUAGGUGACCAGGAAGAGAGAAUAUAUAGAUUAUCACAAGGCUUAUGGAGACCUGUAAGAUCUUUUCAAGGUGCAAAGUGAUCUGGAAAAUGCUGUUCAGGGAUAGCCUGGGCUAAGAAUGAGAUCAUAUCUCAACAAUGAAACAACAACAACAACAACAACAGCAGCAGCAGCAGCAACAACAACAAAACACCUUCAAACACAAACAGGAAAGGAAAGAGGAUGGAAGGAAGGAAAGAAGAAAGGGAGGGAGGGGGAAAAGGAAGGAGACAUUUUUCUGUAGUCUUCAUUUUGACCUCUUCUCUCUUUACUCUUCCUUUCUUGCUGCCAACAACUGGCAAAGUUUUGGUUGGCGCAUGCUGCACAAAGCAGAGUGUUAGCCUACAGGCUCUCAGAGCCCAAUGCAUCUAUCUCUCCUAGCAGAAGUUUUCUGAAGAGAGCAUGGCAUCUGUUUAGGAGACACAUGUCAAGGUGUUGAGGGACAAGUGCAAGAUCCACCCAUCAGUCCGGAUGGAAGGACUCUGCAAGAGACAAGGAAGCAGCUCCUUCCCGGAACCAGAAGAGAGUAGAAAAACAAAGGAACAAUGGAUGCAGAGGCCCACAGGAAAUGAGAGGAUGGAAGUAAGAAAGCCUAAAGGGGUGCUCUUAGGACUAAGGGUGUGGUGUUUCAGUUCUCGGUGCAGUAUGGCGUAUAACUCAUAAAUGGAUAACAUGAAUAUGGACUAACUUUGAACUUAUCACUCUGGCAGUCCCACUGUGCAAUCUUGCCCUGAUAGACUACAUUCUGGCUGCAUUUUCCUAGCCUUCUUAUAGAUGAGCUGAACUGCACUGCUCACCCCUCCAUGAACUGAUUGUUAAGCCAGUUGCUGCUGAGUGAUCUCUGAGAAACAGCUUUGCACUUUUGAAUGGUGGCUGUUUAUCUAUACAUUGAGAAUAAUUUCCCAGCGUUAAGAAUUAAAUGUGAUAACACCCCCCAUGACCUCUAUCUUACAUCAUUGCUUGUCAUGAGUCACCCCAAACUCCUGAUUUCCCAGUUUUUGCUUAUAAAGUAAGGAAGCCCCAUUGGUGUUCUUGCCUUCUCCCUGACAAGUUCAAAGUCUGUUUACUUUAAGCUCAUAUCAUCCAUUAUCACAGACUACUCGGUGUCGUAAUAUGAAGGGACUCUUUCUUCUCUUCCACUGAUUUAUAAACAUCAGCAGAACAUUGAGUCUUCUGUUUACCAUAGUGCCUACCAGUUGGCAGGAUGCACACCGUACAUUCUUUAGAUAAAAUCCCCAAUGUUGUUUACCAGAAGCCCUACACAAUGUUUUCAAUUAUGAACCUUUAAAUUUAAAGCAAUUCCAUUAAAAUAUCAAAAAUAAGGCAGACUUUCCCCCCUCCAAAAAUAAUAAUCAGUUUUCAAAGACCAUGUUUUAAAUACCAAGUCACAGUUCCUUGGAGAUUAUCACUGCCUGGGUCAUAACACGUACAGUGUUUUGACAUAAAUCAAGUCGAUAAUGUGAAAUUGAAUAGAACUUAUUUUGGGCCUCAGACUAAUGAAGGAAGGAAACUAGAAUCACUUGGAAAGGAGCUGCCAAACAUUGGACAGCCUGCUAAUGUAAAAAGAUGGAAUGCUUCUCUUCUCCAUCCCUAAGUCAUUGGGAUGGCAGGUGUGCCUGGUUUAUGUUGUUGCUCCUGUUUUUGAUUGAAGAGUAAACUCUGCCUGUAGCCAGUUAAUCAUCUGCGUUUUUCGGAGAACUUAAUUGAGAGGUUAUUGCUGGCUCUGCUUCCUUCUUCCUCUGUGUCUCCUCUGAGUAUCAGCAAUCACGGUGAUGUACGGCUUUGCUGGCAACUCACAGGGCACAUCCAGAAGCACAGAUCAUGGUUGUUAGACCUGCCAGAUGUUCCUGGUCCCUUGCCGUAAUUAAGUUCCAACUUAGCUGGAUUGGAAAGAUCAGGAAACCACAGUUCUAAUUAAGAAUAUUCAUGAGUUUGCACCUUGGAAAGCGGGCAAUCACAUGAUGUGCCAGAGUGGACGAGGUCCUUUGAGAAGGGAAUAAAAGUAAUAAUAGUAUUGCAAUUUUAAAUAGAUAGCAGGAACAGACUGUGGGGUAUUCUGCAGUGAAAUGGAAGUAUGUGAGAUCGAACAAACUAUUUGAACUCAGUCAAACCUGUCUUAAUAAACUUGAAAGGGCUAUGCCAGGGACUUCUAAUACUGGCUGCACGUUAUUAUCUAAAAAACUUUAAAAAGGGGAAAUCACUCAAACCUGGCCCCUCUCCCUCCUACCUCAGGGACCAAGAAAAAGACACAGCAUCCUCAUUACCACCUCUACAAGGAGUCACCUCUAGGCAGUUGCUAUGGCAACCAUGAAUGUGUUCUUAGACAUCCAAACUGAGAACUCAAAGCAUGUUCAGUUGGACUAUGAACAGUGCUGUGUUGUGACAUGCUCAGAGUCAAGUACCUACCCUCUACCAUCCUUUGACUGCCAUUGGUUAUCAGAGGUUCCUAACACCAUCUCCAGAAGGAACAAAGGAUACCUCCCUGGAGAGAUUGCAGGCAGAGAGUUGAAUCCUUUUCUCCUGGGUCUCUUGCAACAGCUGGAGUUAGAACCCUCAAAAUACAGCAGAACAUGGGAUUACAAGUGAAGAGAGUAUGAAUUUAUUUCUGCAUUAUUUUAUGACACUUGAGAAAAUCACCAGUUCUUUUUGCUAAUAAUUUUCCAAUACAAGAAAGUUUCUCAGAGAUUGCCUUAGCUAGUUGGAAUAGUUUUUGAAGUCAACAGUUUCACAUUGUAUUCGACAUCCAGUUAAGGGGCUCCCAUAAGCCAUUUACCUUCUUCCAGAUACUUGAUUUUCCUUGAGAACCCAGUCUUCCCUCACAGUCUCUGUCCUGACUGUAUGCACUUCAUGUUUCACGGGAGAACAUCAUUCAUGUUCACCUCAUCAUGAGGUGAACGUUUGGGAGAUUCGACUGAAACCCAAACCGCUAAUGGAACACAGUUCUGGAGCCUUAGUUUUAAACCACGGUGAAAUACAAACUCUUCAUUAUUGUCGCUGUGCUUGAAGUUCUCAGGAUGUAAAACCCCAGAGAUGCAAGGACAAGCCUUGUGUCACAGAGGGAGAGCACACUCGUUGGAGAGCAAAGAUGUCCUGGGCACCUCUUUUCAGCUCUGCCUGGUGUUGGCAUACUGUGUGCAGCUAUAGAAAUCAAUAAAGUCUCUCUUAAAAGUCAGGUCAGUUUGAGCCAGAUUCUCUCCUCUUGUGAAUCAAAGGGUUCGAAUGAAUAUGAUCCCCUCAUUUUGAAAACUUAAGAAACCAAUGUCUAGCAUGAGGACUUGUCUAGAACUAGGUUGUCAGACAGGGAUGAGAACCACUUCCACAGCCUUUCAAAUCAAACACUUUCACGGCACACUAAAGUCUUGAAUUAAAAAGCUACAAGUCCUAAUAUCUCUGAAAUCCCCCUUUAGCCAACAAUUUCAUCAUUCUAGUGAUGCCAAUCUUCUUAUAGCCUUGCUAGGUUUAUUCUCUUGUAGCCUUUCUUUAUCUUGUGUACCUGCUAAGCAAACUAAUGAGAGUCUAUUAACCAAUGAUCUACUUCAAUCACUGUCUUGACACAAUCUAGACAAAAUAAACAACAGGAUGUUCUGUAAGUUUUUCUGCAGGUUUAGUUUCCAAGCUUAUUUCCCAAGAGUUUUCCUUUUUUAUUGAAUUGUGGUAUGACUGUUUCAAUUUCCAACCAGAGCAGAAGAGAUGAAGAUCUUAAACGAAAAGAGUGCAAAGCCAGAAGAGCUUGGUGUUUGCUAAAAUUGGACUCUCUAAACCAUCCUUCUCAAUCUGUGGCUACUAUACAUUUUGCUAAACCUACUGAUGUACCUCAGAAGUUUUAUUCUCCGUGAAUAGUAUAUUCCUAUCACAUACCUGCCUCCUCUAUCCUUGGACCAUGAGGCCCAAUCUCCCAGGAACCUUGUUUUAAUAAACCCAGAGUCUUAUGAUCACUCAACCACAUGCAUGCAUAUGAAGUGGUGGCUAGAAAACAUGUUUAUUAACAGCCAAGUGCAUUGAAUCAAACAUGCCUCCUUUGACUAUAGCCAUGGCCCAGUACCAAGUUAAUUUAUUUAUUUUUAUCAGCAUAUAUGUUAAGAGUUUCCAGUAUAUUCAAACCAUUUCUAAUUUUUGAAAUUAGAUAUGAACCAUGUUUGAUCAGGAUAAAUCCCAUGGGAUUCGGGGGCCUGAAGUGCCAUUGCUAAUUGUCAUAUUUUCAUGUUCAUGUCUUCAACAAUGUAGACGUGACAUUGUGGACUGGCACUCAGAGGCAGUGUGAACUUGAAAAUCUGAAUUCUGAGAUCUCAGAUCUUCUUCGCUGCCCUCCCCACUCAUCGCACAUCAUCUGGGACAGAGAACGUGCGAAGCUUUAGUUGUCUCUACCUCCAAGAACUGCAAUCAGUGAGAGAGAAAAGAAGAAGGAACAUCCUUGAGUUUUGUGUUAUGAUACUUGGACAUUUGCAAAGUUCUCUGUUCUUCUAAAUAGAGGAAUAAGGGUUGUCUUCUUUUUCUUUAACUGAGGAGGAAUGUUAAAUAUGUUGAUAUGUAGCUAUUAACUUUAGGAAUUCUGGAGAGUGUAGAAGAAAUAAGGUUGGUGUUGGGCUGCAGAGAUGGUUCAAUGGCUGAAAGGACCUGGGUUUAAUUCCCAGCUCCCACAAGACAGCCCACAACCAUAUGCUAAUUCCAGUUCCAAAGAAUUUGAAACCUACUUCUGGCCUCCACUUAUACCAAAAAUGCAAAUUGUAUACAAACUUACAUGCAACAAAACACCCUUCCACAUGGAAAUAAAAUCUAAAAAGAAAAGUUGCUGUCAAUUUUGACAUAUUAGAAAAUUAAAAAGAAACCACAAAUGUA